rnacentral:rRNA from 1 species
GACGAACGCUGGCGGCGUGCUUAACACAUGCAAGUCGAACGGAAAGGCCCUGCUUUUGUGGGGUGCUCGAGUGGCGAACGGGUGAGUAACACGUGAGUAACCUGCCCUUGACUUUGGGAUAACUUCAGGAAACUGGGGCUAAUACCGGAUAGGAGCUCCUGCUGCAUGGUGGGGGUUGGAAAGUUUCGGCGGUUGGGGAUGGACUCGCGGCUUAUCAGCUUGUUGGUGGGGUAGUGGCUUACCAAGGCUUUGACGGGUAGCCAGCCUGAGAGGUUGACCGGCCACAUUGGGACUGAGAUACGGCCCAGACUCCUACGGGAGGCAGCAGUGGGGAAUAUUGCACAAUGGGCGGAAGCCUGAUGCAGCAACGCCGCGUGCGGGAUGACGGCCUUCGGGUUGUAAACCGCUUUCGCCUGUGACGAAGCGUGAGUGACGGUAAUGGGUAAAGAAGCACCGGCUAACUACGUG